CACCAGUUCCAGGCAUUGGCAGAGAGCUCAACAAGCCCAUCACUUUCCCUGAUGGACGUUCCUUACCCAAAGGAUUCCCAGUGUUGCUCUCCAUUUAUGCCCUUCACCACAACCCGAAUGUGUG